rnacentral:rRNA from 1 species
AGAGCGAACGCUGGCGGCAGGCCUAACACAUGCAAGUCGAACGGACUCUUCGGGGUUAGUGGCGGACGGGUGAGUAACACGUGGGAACGUGCCUUUAGGUUCGGAAUAGCUCCUGGAAACGGGUGGUAAUGCCGAAUGUGCCCUUCGGGGGAAAGAUUUAUCGCCUUUAGAGCGGCCCGCGUCUGAUUAGCUAGUUGGUGAGGUAAAGGCUCACCAAGGCUACGAUCAGUAGCUGGUCUGAGAGGAUGACCAGCCACAUUGGGACUGAGACACGGCCCAAACUCCUACGGGAGGCAGCAGUGGGGAAUCUUGCGCAAUGGGCGAAAGCCUGACGCAGCCAUGCCGCGUGAAUGAUGAAGGUCUUAGGAUUGUAAAAUUCUUUCAGUAGGACGAUAAUGACGUACUACAGAAGAAGCCCGCUAACUUCGCGCCAGCAGCCGC